ACAGCAGCCGCCGCGGAAUACGGAGGGGGCUAGCGUUGUUCGGAAUUACCGGGCGUAAAGCGCACGUAGGCGGCUUGGUAAGUUAGAGGUGAAAGCCUGGAGCUCAACUCCAGAAUUGCCUUUAAGACUGCCGAGCUAGCAGGUGAGAGAGGUAAGUGGAAUUCCGAGUGUAGAGGUGAAAUUCGUAGAUAUUCGGAAGAACACCAGUGGCGAAGGCGGCUUACUGGCUCAUACUGGACGCUGAGGUGCGAAAGCGUGGGGAGCAAACAGGAUUAGAUACCCCGGUAGUCCCUGUCUCUUAUACA
rnacentral:rRNA from 1 species